rnacentral:rRNA from 1 species
UACGUAGGGUGCAAGCGUUAAUCGGAAUUACUGGGCGUAAAGCGUGCGCAGGCGGCUUCGCAAGACAGAUGUGAAAUCCCCGGGCUUAACCUGGGAGCUGCAUUUGUGACUGCAUGGCUGGAGUGCGGCAGAGGGGGAUGGAAUUCCGCGUGUAGCAGUGAAAUGCGUAGAUAUGCGGAGGAACACCGAUGGCGAAGGCAAUCCCCUGGGCCUGCACUGACGCUCAUGCACGAAAGCGUGGGGAGCAAACAGG